AUGGCAGCCGCAGCACUGAGGGCGCAGCUCAACGCUCAUAUCACCGGCAUGUACACUGAUGGUGUCAUGGACGAGGACACGUUCGAGGAGCUGCGGGACGAGGGCACCGCCGUCGAGGUCUCCCGCCUCUUCAUCUACGACGCCUCCAAGAUCAUCGACGACAUCGACAUCCUGAUGGAGGAGCCCAAAGUGGACUUUGAUGAGGUGGAAGCCCUGACGCAGCAUCUCAUGCGGUGCACCUCCAGGGCCCAGCUCAACGCCCAUAUCGCCGGCAUGUACACCGAGGGUGUCGUGGACGAGGACACAUUCGAGGAGCUGUGGGACCAGGGCACCACGUCAAGGGAGGAGCCCGAAGUGGACUUUGACGAGGUGCAAGCCCUGACGCAGCAGCUCACACGGUGCACCUCCAGGUGA
rnacentral:rRNA from 1 species